GUUUAAUACAUGUACACAUUGAAUGGGCGAGUUCAUAGUUGCAAACCACUUUUAUAGAAACAAUCGGAUAAGCGUACGAAGAAAAUGAUUUUAACAUAAUUAAUCGUAAACGGUUCCACCUCUUUCCUUGUUAGAAAAUUACACCGGUGCACUAAAUAUCAGUAUAAACGAAUCCGUCAUACCGAACGAAAGUGCCGAGCCGUCCGUUUAUAUACCAAUUAUUCGUCAUCAUUUACGAUAUAAGUAAUUGAUAUUAAAUACUAUAAUAAUGCGCAAACGACAAUGCGAAAAUGCCAGGCGUAUAUAAUAGGCAAUACGUUUUCAGAGAGGUAAGUUGUGUCGUUUUGUUUCUUAUAAAUAUAUAAAUAAAAUGUAGGUAGAUAGGUACCUAAUGUUGGACAUGGACAGUAUUUAGUGGAGUGUUCAGAAAUUUUAAACGGAAUGGGCUAUAGCAAAUAAAACUUUUGAUUAAUUUGUAAAAUCGUUUGCUCUACCCAACUCGACUAUGGGAGUUGGCAAUUUAAAAGGCAGAUCCUAAAAAAAAUCUAAUUUCUAUUCAAUACAUCAAGUUUUCCCUCGUAACUUGGCUAAAAUAUGUGCAUUUCGAUAUUAGAUAACUAAUGUUUUUGUAUUUUUCAGUCAAUGGGGGGGGGGUAUGUAAUUCCUAUCUACCCAACUUCGUGCGCACGCCACUGAUAGUAUUCUGAAUAAAGUAUUAAUUUUUAAAUACUCUGAAUAUUUGAAAACAAUUUUUUUUUAAAUAUUUAGUAUUCAAUACCUAUUAUAUUCAAAAAAGUAUUUUAUUCCCUAAAAAAAAUCGAAAAUAAUUGACUCUAAAUUGAGAUAAGGAUGUAAGAUAGAGAAAUUCGGAAAACAUUUUGAAAAGGAAAAUUUAUAAAAAUUAAGCUAUUAAACCAAAAGUAAUAAAUAAUUGUUGUACUUAAAGAAUGCGUAUUUUAUAUUUAUUACCCGAAAAUAAUUUUUCGGAUAGUCUAAAUUUUUUCAAGCAUAAAUUUAAAAGAUGCGUCAUUUUCACCAGGUCACCUGAUUUAAAACUUUUUGGAAUUCCUAACAGAUAAAAUAUAAUACAUAGUUAAAUUGUACGUUUCCUGUCUACGGUAUUGUUUUUCUAGGUCGGAGAAAUUCACUUUAUAGUUGACAAUUGUAACAAUACCAUUAUCAGAAUACUACUCCUACGGUGCUACUACUUUUCGUAAGUGACGGCAGAUGGGGUUGCGUUUUGUCGACAGCCGGUGUAUAAUUUUGUAAAAAAACAGUGUGGAGUGGUUCUAAACAAGACUUUGGUAGAUUGCCUCACAUAUCGAAAUGUUUUUAUCGGUUAUUAAUUAUAUUAUUUUUGUAAAUGGAAUCGGCGAAAUUCGUACGGUCGAUGAAACCACGCUGAUUGAUGAAUGGCGUCUUUUAGUCAUCAUAUACGAUUAUGGAUUUUUGCGCGUGCGGGUAAAAAUAUAAUACCGUUUCGUUUUUAGAUUCUGAAUGCGGCGAAGAAUUUAUCGGUUUUACAAUAAUGUUUAUUUCGUAUUAUUUUUUUUUUCUGUGAACAAAUUUUCUUUUAGAAAUUUUGCUCCGAUUUACAAUGAUACAACAAUUUUUCUGAAAGGAUAUCCGACUGGUGAGGUACUCUGAGGAGAUCGUUUUUUGAUUUUCCCAGGAGUUUUCCAAAUAAAUAGGAAAGGCCGGGAACAAACACCGAAAAACAUUAUGACAUAUAUAUAUAUAUGCAAAUUUGUUGACAGAGCAACACUAUCAACCGAACUCCUCUCAAAACGUUUUUUUGCGUUUGCAAUGGUUCGUUGUUGCGUACAGGUAUACAUUAAAUAUUUCUUCUACUACCUUCUCAACUUCUGACCUACAACAGUGGCGGCCUACCCCCGUGCGAAUUAUAUCCGUCUUUUUAAUAUUUUGCCUGUGUCGGGAUUCGCUUUUUUUUCUUCGUUUACGGUCAACCGAAGGCCCAGGUUAUUUGGGCAUGCAAUUACAACAAUAAGCUACCUACAGUUUUGCGCCAUGCGAUUUUUUUUUUUCCGAAAUGUGUGUGUGUUUUUUUUUUUUUAUCGCGAAUCGUUUAGUGUAUUUUUUUUAGUAUUCGUUUAGUUAAUUCUUAUUUAUUUUUUUCGGUAGAAAAAAACUUUUAAGUACAUUGUUUAAUUAACGAAAACCCGUUUUCUGAGAAGAAUACACUAUUAGUAAAAAUAAAUGAUACCUAGCUUCUUCACCACACAUAUACGAAUGUAGAAAAAGUGUAUACUAUAUGAAACAAUAUUAGACAUUUAACAUUUAACAAUACUAACAUUAUUAAACAAUAUAAUUAUUUUAUAAAUCAUAAGUAUACGCAUUAGGUAUUUUAUUAGUAGUUCAAGAUUAUAUAUUUUAAUACACUAUUGUUGAUGUAUAAUUGAGUUUAGUCUUAAUUAUCAGAGCGAGAUGAAUAGCACGAUUCUGCACUAUUCGCUCAUCAAGCUAACCACCAUAUUGUCACACACAUUUGCAGUCAAGGAAAUUUAAUAAUAAUAUUAUUGCAUAUUACGCACAAUUAUUAUUGUAUCACGUGAAUUAGAUUCGACAGUCAAAUAAUAACGUGAAAGUAUACAUUUUUCUGUUCCUUCUUUUUUUUUUUUUUUUUUUUUUUAGAAUUAUCGCGUAACACACAGCACAUUGUUUAUAAUUGUCAAAAAGUAAGCAGGUAUAUGUCGGUACGUUUAUGGUUAUGCAAUUUCUAUUGUUCGGUCUUAUAUUCUGCUAUUAUUAUUAUUAUUAUUUUUUUUUUUAAAUAAAUCAAAUUACAUAGAUACUUUAUACGUACAUUUAAGUGAUUAUAUUUUGUAUUUUUAUAACCGCAACGUUAUUGUGCCGUAUAUGAUAUAAGUAACCAUUACGAUGAGGGGGGAGGUUUGACCUUAAACUCCCUCUACCGUUUUUUUUUUUUUUUAAAUAUAUUGUGCUCGAGAGCAUGGUUAUUAUGUUAGCUGAUAAUAAUUACUAUCAUCUUGCAAAUUAUUACAAAGUAAUGCAAUCGAGGAUUUUUUUUAAAUAUUAUUAUGUAUCUAAUCAUUUAAUUAUUAAUUUUCUGUUAUUAUAUAGUAAUUAUAUUAACAUUAGUCGAAUAUAGUUGCACGGGGAAUGAAGGGAAAAAUAUGAGUAGUUACCUACCUCGUAUCAAAAAAAAAAUGAAUAUUCCAACGUACCUGCAUCAAUCUUCUAUAGUUUUAGAUUCUGCAUUCGGAAGUUUUAUAAUUAUUUUUUUCGAGGAAAACCAUUUUAGAAUUACGAACGACGGUUAUGAAUAUCGAGGUCUAAGACGUGGUUUAUUAUGUAUGUGUUCGUUAUUGUUAUCCAACGAUUUUAUUUCCCGAACAACAAAACAACUAUAUAGCUACCGAGAACAUGCGUGGGGAAAUGCUGCGCACUGUUGUAGUUUUAAUUUUUUAAUUAUUUAUUUGACGAAAUAUUAACAUAAAUUAUUAUAUCUCGACAAUUAUUAGCUUAUAAAACCCACAGAUUUUUAAAUUUUAAAAUCAGUUUGAAGAACAAGACUGAUUAAUAUUUCAUUAUUGGAAAAAAGGGCAUCGGAAGUAGAAAGAUUAACGUGAAACGAAGAACUGUUUUUUUAAACUAAGCCUAUUGGUGUGGAGGGAAGCACGUGGAGGAGUGUGAAAAACAUCGUAAUAUUCACCGCGCUGUUGAAGUUGCACACCAGUUUUUAACAUCAUUAUAAUAUUUACUACUAUUUUGGUUAUUCUUCUAAUAUUCUGUCAUGACUCGAAAACGCAUAGAAUAAAAUAUACUUAUAUAUACUAAGGUUUGUCUAAGAUUAAUUUUUCGAAUUCAAUGAUUAACCUACCUACCUAUCGUGUUUCGUAAUAUUGCUUUAUUAAUAUUUACACAAAAACCAGCCGGAGAUUAAUGUAAUUCCCGAUUUUUUUUUAAUAAUUCAAUGUUGUGUAAUACGCGUACAAUAGUGUAUGUGAUGCACAAUUAUAAUUACAAUAUAAUAUAAUAAUAAUUACACGUACGCAAUAUUUAUGCAUAAUCUAGCGUCGGUGAACACAUCUGUAUAUAUAUAAUAUAACACGCCGCAGACUAUAUUUUCCCCUUUCUCGCGGUAUCACGUCCAUGACUUUUUAGAACGAUCGUAAAACCAAAAGAAAAAAGACCUACAUACUUUGCACGAUGGGUGGGCCACUGUUGUAGGCGAGAUGUUGGGAAGGUAGGAGUUUAAUAAAGAGGUGUUUAAUUUAUAUAUGUAUGCUACGAUUGAUCGUUGUUAACGAAAAAACGAAUCUAAGCGGAGUUCGGUUACACAUGUUUUAAAAGACCGUAAUUUUCGUCAAAAUUUGAUUUUAAAAUUCUUAUAUAAAAAAAAAAUACUACAUUAUACUUAAAUUUUUUUGUUGACUACUAAGUACAAUUUACAAUGAACCUCCUGUUAAAUUUUUAAGCUUUUCUUUUUCCAUAGAGUACCUUUCGAAUAAAUAUUAUGUAAAAAGCUCGCAAAAUUAAAAUGUCUAAAUAAAUAGCUAAAAUAUUUUGAAAAUUUGUCGACGUCUAGAAAAGGCAAAUAUAGUUUUUCUAUCAAAAUGUCAAAUCCAUAUGAAUAUUUUCAACAACAAAAAAACAACGUUUAAAUUAUUGAAUAUGCCAUAAAUUUGUCCAUUUUCAUUUCACGUCUUUUCUCGGAUUUUCUCAAUUAUGAAAACUGCGUGUAAAAUCAUAAAAUGAUCUUCUUAAAGUACUAUCCCAAUAAAAUUUAAUUUCAGAAAAGAUAUUACACUUAAAACAUCGGAGUAAGAUUUCUGGUAGAAAUUUAUAUACAGUAUAGAAAAAAUUAAAAAAAAAAUUAAACAUCAUUAUAAAAUCAAUACGUUUAUCGCUACGCUCCGAAUCGAAAACAAAAUCUGGAAGGUAUGAUAUAAUACAAUAUUAUAAAGCGAUUCUAUUUUUAUCAGCACACAACGAUAAAUAAUUGAUAACAGUAAACGAUUCUGAGCAUAUUUCGGUUAUAUUCCAUAAUUUAUUAAUGUUUUUGAAAUGCUUCAGUUUUCACUAUAUUCAUACAAAUUUCAACUUUAAUAAAUGUUUAUAUACAAAAAUUAAUAAAUUACAUUAAUGGUUUUUACAUAAGUAUAAUAACUUAUGGUUAAAAUUGUAUAAAAUAUUUGAGGACUUUAGUUGGAGCAAAACAUUUGUAUUCACUUAAACUGUCGUAAUUAUUACAAUUUUCAUCAAAAUUUGAACUUAUUUGUACGCUAAUGAAAAACAUUCGUGAACAGCAGAGCUCCGUAAUAAAAGUCGAAUUUUUCCCUAGCUGGUUCAUUUUCGUUACAAUAUAUCAUUUUUAGAAAUUUUAAGCGCAACUAGGACUUAUUUAUUUAUGUGGAUAUUUUGUGGUGGGAUACUUUGUCACGGACAUCAGGAGUUCUAUAGUUCUGUUACUGUAUCUAGUGUUACCUCCCUGUAGUUUUCCAUUCCUAACGUUAUUAGAUCCUUUGCGAUUUAAUCUCACCAUCGUUGUUUAGGCCUUCCCAAGGGGCUCUUUCUUCGGGGUUUCCAAUUUAAUACUUCUUUUGGAAUAGUAUUGGACCUUAUGGUACGUGACCCACAGCCAGCUUAGCCGUUUUGCUCUGACUUCCACCGUUAUACUCGGUAUAAAACCAGCGUUGUUAUAUGUAUUAUAAUAUCUGCGCAAAAGAUCAUCCAGUAGUAUCCAGCAGAUAUUUUAUAAAUCUUGGGGCCUGGGGGCUCCCGGACACAAAUGCGGCCGGAGGUCGGGCCAGGCCGACACUAUAAUGUAGGUGUAAGGUAUUAAACUACAAUAAGUAUAUUAUUACGGUAUCACCGUGUAGGCACAUCAUCAAGCACCUACGGUAUAAACGAUUUUUUUUUUGUUUUUUUUUUUUUAUCUGCGCAGAGUCUUGGAG
rnacentral:lncRNA from 1 species